rnacentral:rRNA from 1 species
CCUACGGGAGGCAGCAGUGGGGAAUAUUGCACAAUGGGCGCAAGCCUGAUGCAGCAACGCCGCGUGAGGGACGACGGCCUUCGGGUUGUAAACCUCUUUUAGUAGGGAAGAAGCGAAAGUGACGGUACCUGCAGAAAAAAGCACCGGCUAACUACGUGCCAGCAGCCGCGGUAAUACGUAGGGUGCAAGCGUUAUCCGGAAUUAUUGGGCGUAAAGAGCUCGUAGGCGGUUUGUCGCGUCUGCUGUGAAAACUGGAGGCUCAACCUCCAGCCUGCAGUGGGUACGGGCAAACUAGAGUGCGGUAGGGGAGAUUGGAAUUCCUGGUGUAGCGGUGGAAUGCGCAGAUAUCAGGAGGAACACCGAUGGCGAAGGCAGAUCUCUGGGCCGUAACUGACGCUGAGGAGCGAAAGCAUGGGGAGCGAACAGGAUUAGAUACCCUGGUAGUCCAUGCCGUAAACGUUGGGCGCUAGAUGUGGGGACCAUUCCACGGUUUCCGUGUCGCNGCUACGCAUAGCGCCCGCCGUCGGGAGGUACGGCCGCGACGGACGUAAACGUAACGUAAGUAGUUAAGUUAGUACGGCGUUGAGACGCGCCGACGGACGACGACGAGGGAGGAGG